UACGUAGGGCGCAAGCGUUGUCCGGAAUUAUUGGGCGUAAAGAGCUCGUAGGCGGCCAGUUGCGUCUGCUGUGAAAUCCCGGGGCUCAACCCCGGGCGUGCAGUGGAUACGGGCUGGCUAGAGGCAGGCAGGGGAGAACGGAAUUCCCGGUGUAGCGGUGAAAUGCGUAGAUAUCGGAAGGAACAUCAGUGGCGAAAGCGGCUUCCUGGUCCAGCACCGACGUUCAGGCACGAAAGCGUGGGGAGCAAACAGG
rnacentral:rRNA from 1 species